CUUAACUUCCAUAGAACAACUAAAAGAUGUAAAUACAGGUUUUAUUUUUACAGUUCCGACCUUCAGUACCUAUCUCGCAUCUUUUAAGAAUCUCCUCAGCCAGUGAACAGAUUCGUUGGUUUAAGAGUGACUGGUCUAACAGAGUUGGUCUUGAGUUGGAGAUGCCUUAGGUUGCACAGUAAGUCGCUGGACUGUCUGUUGUUCAGAUUGCACUGUAUCAUGUUGCACUGCUGCUCGUGGGUCCUGCAG
rnacentral:lncRNA from 1 species